CCUACGGGCGGCAGCAGUGGGGGAUAUUGCACAAUGGGGGGAACCCUGAUGCAGCGACGCCGCGUGGGUGAAGAAGCGCCUCGGCGCGUAAAGCCCUGUCAGCAGGGAAGAAAAUGACGGUACCUGAAGAAGAAGCCCCGGCUAACUACGUGCCAGCAGCCGCGGUAAUACGUAGGGGGCAAGCGUUAUCCGGAUUUACUGGGUGGAAAGGGGGCGCAGACGGCGAUGCAAGCCAGGAGUGAAAGCCCGGGGCCCAACCCCGGGACUGCGCUUGGAACUGCGUGGCUGGAGUGCAGGAGGGGCAGGCGGAAUUCCUGGUGUAGCGAUGAAAUGCGUAGAUAUCAGGAGGAACACCGGUGGCGAAGGCGGCCUGCUGGACUGCAACCGACGUUGAGGCCCGAAAGCGUGGGGAGCAAACAGGAUUAGAUACCCUUGUAGUC
rnacentral:rRNA from 1 species